UUUUUUUUUUUUUUUUUUAAAGCAGAACCAAGAACAUUCCAUUUUGGGGGGAAAUCAAAUGUUUUUUUUUUUUUUUUUUUUUAAAUUCAGCAAGGCUGCCGGUUCCAGGCUGAGGCACUGGUAAAAAAUUUCUGCGAUCCUCCCAGCAAGGGAAGUCUGAUUAAGAAACUCUUACAAAUAAAUGUUUAUUAAAGGGCAACAGUAUCUGGUCUUGGGCUGCACUGCAGAGGUGUAGCAGGUAAUUUGCACAGAUCUCCCUGAGUUCAGUUGGUUUCCAGCCUCCAGACAUGCACUUGACCCGAAUGGCCUGGAAGUUGCUCCAGGGCAAAGGCAGUGUCUUUUCCGAGGUUGUGGGCCCCCUCGCGUUGAGCAUAAUGGGUUGUAAAUUCUAGGUCCUCGGUGGAUAAGUGUCUGCUAAGUGAAUGAAAACAUCUAGAAUCAUCCUGUUCCCAUAGCACGCAUGUGCCGUCCACAUCAGCUCAGUGCUUCACUGAGUUUCAAAUCAUGGGCUAAAAAUGAAGAUAAAGUACAUGCGUCUAACUUAGGGUACAGGAGGCAGUCUGUCUUCUAAGACCUUCACAUCAGCUGAGUUUGAGAACCAGGGCCCUGUGUUGAAUUAGCUCCGUAAUAACCACCCUGAUGGCUCCUCUGCCAGGGGGCUCUGGUUGGCACCUAAUUAAGUUUCGGUUGACCUCUCCCCAGAGUUACUGGGAACUUUUAUUUCCUCUGUCAAAGCACAAAAUAGACUCAGGGGAACUUCCCCAGAAAAGGCCAAACCUGGCCUCUUGUGGGUUCCACAUGGGGACCCACGUGAAUGUCACCAAGCCUUUGUAAAGUUCCCCCUGGCUUCCUGUCCCCCAGUCAACUGUAUCUGUUCACAGCACCAGGCUCUGACCUGGGCUUAGGCCAUCAAUGUCCCUUGCUUCCCAGGGACCCUGAGGCUGGAUUUCUUGCCUCUGUUCUUGCCCUGUUCCUCCGCUGACAUCACCCCCCACCCCACAAAGCUCACCACUGGUCCCCUCCAGUCUGGGACUGUAUCCUAGAUUUUGUAGCUCAACCGAGAGAAUGUGAACUUGAGCCCUCAUUCCCCUUCCCUUUCUUUAACCCAUGAACUUUACAUAGCCAUUUGCACUUAGAGUGGUGCCUGUGAACUCAGACCCCUGCCAGCACCACACAGAUCACAUCACGUGUGGAGCUGGUGGGCACCCUGGCAAGUGGGCGGGAGCUUCCCAGGUCUCUGCCGAUCCUUGGCCUCCCUGCUUGGAUAGCAGAUGGUGCAGAGCGUGAGUUUGCUGCCGUGGAACAAAGAGCUGCAUGAGAUGCUGAGCGGCCACCAGAACCUGCCCCCCACCCAGUUCAGCUGCAGUGGGGGAGAGGUGGGAGGGCAGAUUAGCUACUGGAGGCUGGACAAGGAGGGCAUACGCAUCUCAAUUCUGGCUGGUAUACCCAAGUCUUGAUCUUUUAUUUUCAAGAGAAAGCAAAAACCUGGAUUUUUUCAUGUGAAAUACCCCAAUUUUCAACACAGCCUGGUUUAGUCUAAAAGCUCUGUGUCGGCUAAUGGAAACCACCCAUAGGUUGUACUCAGGCUGCGGACUGCUGGUUGGACAGCUGCCUUACUGAGACCCCACACGAGCUUCGGUUCCUUGAUUCCUUGGGGCAUCUUUAUGAUCCACCUUUUGGGUGCAGAAAGCCCAUAGGUGAAUGGAGGAGCUGGCUCUGAGCCUGCUUCUUGCAACUCCAAGUCCACGGGUCCAGCUGCUGCAACGAGAGGUUUCCCAGCUGCCGAGUUUUCCCCAAGUGCUUGUUCCUGGGAUGAGGGAGCCAUCCUUCAACUCUGGGCAACACGGCACCUACCAGACCCAAAGGUCUCUGGGCUGGCAGGUCUUAGUACUCUGCAGGGAAGCUGAGCCACUGCAGCGGGAGCCUCGGGGGGCCUGGGCACCUUGGGCCAUGGGAGCAGGAAGCCAAGGUCUCUUCCUCAAGCCUGUCCUCUUCUGCCACCUUGGACGUAAGCUUCUCUCUGCUUCUCCCUCAGGUGAGCCUGAAGCUGAGGCCACCUACCAUGCUGCCUCCUAGUCUGAACCUGGGUCCAGGUGAUGUGAGCGUUAGCUUUGCUCUCAUCUCCCAGGGUGACUUUGGAUGUUUUUCUUCCCGUGGGUGGAGAGUCCACACAUGCAAAAUGAGAGGCUUCAACGAGUGUAUAUACCUAUUGGGACUCUGAAUGCAUGCGACAGAAAACCCAGCUCACGCCGGCAAAGGCCAAGACUGGAAAUGAUAGUUGACAUCAUAAAGUAAAAAUAGCAGCGGUUUGAACAUUAUUUCCGUAAAUUGGCCUCUUUGAUCUGUCUCUCAGCUCUGCUCUCCUCUGUUUUGGCUUCCUUUCAAGGUGGCCACAGGUCACUCCAGGUCUACAACUUGCUGGACUCAAGCACAGGGACAAAGAGGAAGGUGGCCUCUCUCUGGACAGCAGCAGCUGAAGGUGUAUCGCAGGUCGCUGGCUCAGUGUGCGGUGGGUGCCUGACCCUGGGCCAGUCCCUGUGGCCUGAGAAAUGCACUUCACAGAAUGGUGUCGCCUGCCCACCCACCCAAAACACCUGGGGGCAGAAGUCAGGGGACGGCCAGAAGGACAAAGGGGGUCCUAGGUAUUCAAGUUCAUUAUUGAUUUCAUUUUAUUUUUUGUUAUGGAGAACAGAAAUGCUACCAAAAGUCAAAACUAAACAGAAAGAAAGGCUCAGAGAAGCAUCCUUUAUGCCCUAAGUUUGCCCCAUCCUCCCUGGUGCAUCUCAUAGAAAACCGACUAUAUUGCUUUUUGGUUUGUUCUUCCUGUGCUUCUUUUUGUAAAGAGAGCAAAUAUAUGCAAAUCCUAUGAUUUCCCUUCUUUCUCACAUGAAGGACGGCUGGUGACAUGUGCUCUUUUCUACGUUGCCUUUUCACUUAGCAGUGUCUCUUGAAAGUCAUUCCGAAUUGAUUCACAGAGCUAGUCCUCAUCUGUUUAAAUUGCUCAGGACCAGAGUUCCCGUCGUGGCUCAGUGGUUCAUGAAUCCGACUAGGAACCAUGAGGUUGUGGGUUCGAUCCCUGGGAAAGGCAAAAAGACAAAAAUAAAUGAAUAAAUAAAAUAAAAUAAAUAAAUAAAGUAUGCUGUUAAAAAAAAAGAUAAAUUGCUCAGGACCUCAUUGUGUGUGAAUACUAUACUUUAUUCAACCAAUGUCCUGUUUUUGGCAAUUUAGAUAGUUUCCAAUAUGUUUCAACUAUAUAUAAUGCUGAAAUGAAUAACCUUGGAUAUCUGUAUUUUUUAAUUGAAAUAUAGUUGAUUUACAAUGUUGUAUUAGUGUCAGGUACACAGCAAAGUGAUACUAUAUAUAGAGACUAUAUAUAGAGAGAGUAUAUAUAGAGAGAGACUAUAUAUAUAUAUAUAUAUGGUAUUGUUAUGGUUACGAAAAUUUGUUUUCCCAUCUGAUGGGUAAAAGAUGCUAUUCAGUAUGGACUUACUUUGCAUUUUUAUUAAGUGUGAAAUUGAUCAUAUUUUCAUGUGUUAAGGUCUAAUUUUAUAUUUCUUUUAAUGAAUUGUCUAUUCAUGUCUUUUGUCCAUUUUUCUAUUGGAUUUUUGGUAUUUCUUAAUUUUUAAAACAUUAGAUAUUGGUUCUUUAUGAUCUAUGUUACGGAUACUUUUCUAUCAGUUUUCAUUUGUGUUUUGACUAUGCUAAAGGUUUUUUUGAUAGGAUUUUUAGUCAUAUUACAAAUUUUUUCAGAGUUCCCAUUGUGGCUCAGUGGAAACAAACCCAACUAGUAUCCAUGAAGAUGUGGGUUCGAUCCCUGGCCUUGCUCAGUGGGUUAAGAAUCUGGUAUUGCCGUGAGCUGAGGUGUAUGUCACAGAUGCAAGAUAUGAAAAUUCUGAAGGUUCUAAGGGUUGAAUCGGAGCUGUAGCUGCCAGCCUACACCACAGCCACAGCAAUGCGGGAUCUGAACCACGUCUGUGACCUAUACCACAGCUCAUGACAACACUGGAUCCUUAACCCACUGAGCAGGCACAGGGAUUGAACAGGCAUCCUCAUGGAUACUAGUCAGGUUCAUUACCACUAAGCCAAGAUGAGAACUCCUAAUUUUAUUUUCUAAGUGAUUAUACAGUUAACCCAAUACCAGUUAGCCUCAGUAAUUUGGAGAUACCCCCUUUAUCAUAUCCUAGAUUUCUUUAAGUCUUUGGGUCUAUUUCUUGACUUCUUGUUCUAUUCCAUUGGUCUGUCUGCUUUUUAGGUGUUGAUACUACACUGUUUUGAUUAUUGAGGCUUCAGAGUGUGUAUUAAUAUCUUGUGGGACCUUUCCUCUUCCACAGAAGAUUGUUUUUUUAAAGAGAGGAGUUAUUCUAGAGUAUCUGUAGGCUGAGGGAAAUGACCAAGUCGAGAGAUGAGUUGGGCGAGAGAGGGGAAACGUGGUGUUCUUGAAUGGGCUCAGGUGGAGAACUCUGGAAGGAGCUCGAGAAUACAGAUUCAGAAGUCAGUAGAUUCGUUGGUGAGAAGAAUUCUCUUCUGACUUUGUUUUCUAGUAAAAUAAGAACCAAGGUCCUCAGCUGAGCGUGGGGGAAGGGGAGAAGUAGUGGAAUCACUCAGACAGUGCCUAGGGCCCACUUGAGGUUUGUGGUCGUAAAUAGAAAGCAAGACCCAUCUGUGUAGUGGUGUGUUUUCCCCUAGCCUCACACAAUGGCUUGGGUUUGGGAGAUGAGUUGAGUUCAAACUGUUGGGAUUUAGCCAAAGAAGUACGACAGAUGGAGAGAGGAGGGAGCAUGGAUGCAGGUGAGCAGAACGAUGGGCCGGGGAUGCUGUUGGGCAAGGAGGGAAAGGAGGACGGUGCGUGAGGGGUUGGAUGUGAAGAAGAGGGUACCCAUGGUGGAUUAAAGAUCCUGAAAGGUUUCAGAAAUGUUGGUCUUUGGAAGGGGAGGUGAUGGUCCUGGGAGUGGGUGACUCAGAUGGGAUAGAAGAAAAGAUAUCCACAAAGGUAUAAAAAGACUCAAGGGCCAGCAUGUAGGUAGGUUGUCGUCAUGGUUGGGAUGGUAGUGACAGAGAUGGUGAGCUUGAUCCUAAAAUCCUCACGAGUAAAGGGCAGAGGCUGGGAGGUUGGAGGUGCCUGCAAACGAGAGGGGCGUGGGUGGGCUCUCCAUGAACCACUCUGCAAAGACCUGCAGAAUUGCAGCACAGGAAGACCAGGUCCCCCUACCCCAGAAGUCUCUUCAUGUUCCUCUGCAGUCUGUUCCCCUGGCAACCUUCCAGGGUUGGGUUAAGCUGUGAAGAUGGAGUCUAAGAGGCUUGCCUAAGAGAUCUGCCUUUAAGUUGGGAGAGCCUGGCAUUUCUUAAAACUCAAAGGCAAUCAGAGAGCCUUAGGGAGACAGUAGAGAGCCAGGCGGGACCCUUUGGGGCUGGUGUGAGUUCCACCACAGCAAAGCCCCUGGGAUGCCUCUGCAGUGGAGGCCAGGUGAAUGGAGAGGUUGCUUGUCAUGCAGAAGUGCAAGGAGGUGAGCUUGAACCCUCAAAGGGUCAAUUACCCUGCAGAGCCUACCCUGGCUGCAGAAUCAAAGCCAUAGGUCUUUCCAAAAGAGUUCCCCAGUGUUGAAAGCCAUCCUCCUACUUCAGGCAUCCUAUCCCAUUCAGACUUCCUGAGCAUCCUCAAACACCUGAAAUUAGAUCCUGGAGGAGGAUGUGUCCCUGCCAGGGGAACUGGACCUGGGCCCACCUGGGCCAAAGCUGUCAUGAGCCCUGGCUGAAUGGGUGACCCCAGUGUGGCUUUGGCCAUGUAGCUGAGGCUGACCGUGCCUGAGACCUAUUGACAGGAAGGGCUCCAGAUCUUCAUGAGGGGAAAAUAAAUAAUGUGAGACAGGCUUUGAGAGAGCAAAACAACAAAUGGAUGGGCCUAGGUGAGCUCCAGGCAGUGAGGGUGACAAAUGGAACAGGUGGAAUGUCAGAUCUGGGUCUUUGUUGAGAAUGACAGAUGAUGGUCUAGGACCUGUUAAGAUGUCAGAAAAAAGAUUCAGAUCAAGGUUAUUUUCAGUCAUUGAUAGUAAUUUGCAAGUUGGUGUAGAUGUAGAGGAAAAAUGCAUACCAGACUCGGCGCCCACUGACACGUGCUCACAUGGGCUGGAGAGAACAGGUGAGAGAAACCCAUCUCUGUUCCAUGCUGUGUCUCGGGAGGUCCUAAGCAGAGGAGGGGUGAGGUCCUGUCAGCUCUUACUCUCAGCUGUAAUUUGCCAGUGAGCCUGGGUCCCAAGAUUGGCAGAUGGGGCCUGGAUGUGAGGUCAGAGAUGGGGAGGGGGUGGGAUGGGGAGGAUCCAGACACCUCUGCCCUCACCCAUUCCUGUGCCUUCCUUUCCUCAGGAAGAAGUGAUGCUUGGGGGUUACCAGCCCCAAAUCUCCAUCCAAAAGAGACAUCUCAGAUCCUGUAGACACACACACACACACACACACACACACACACACACACUCUAACACACACACACACUCUCACACACUCACACUGUCCGCCCCUUCCAGCUUAGACCAACUUACCAUCCUUCAGAUCCCAAUGAGAUCUUAGCUUCUGCAUGCUAAACACCUCUACUCUCAUGCUCCUGGUUGGCAGACCCCCCCCCCUUUACAGAUAGACUUUUUGGACUUGUGUCCCCACCCAAGUCUGUCUUUGGAAUAGCAGUUGACUGUACUAUCAUGUUUAAAUCUUUAAGGAAGGUCUGUUCUGUUAGCCAUGAGACAUCAGAAAGUCAGCCUUGAACUUGGUGAUGCCACCGUGGUUUGCUCUCAUGUAAGCUACUUGUGCGUGUUUUAAGGAGCUUUCUUUGGCUUUUUUUGUUUCUCUAUUACAUAAGUGACUACGUAAGUGAAUUAGAAUUCUCUAUUCCCUUUUGGCUCUGUGUCACUUGUGUUGUCUAGCAGGCAUGUACAGAGUAGGUUUUGUAGGCAUCAAGGCGUGGGGCCACUGGACUCCUCCUGGCUGAACAGCAGAGUGAGCUUCUCAAGUCCCAGCCAGGGACGGUAGAACAGAGUGGUCGUCAUCUGGAAAGUCCAAGACGUAUGAUUACCUAACACUGGUCUCUUGGGUCAGGCCUAUCUGGGCAUCAGGUCCCUCAGAUAUAGAAACAGACCUUUGACUAUCACCCAUCAGAAUUGUCAUAAGGAUUAAGUGGUGUGAUAUGUGUGUGUGUGAAGAGUAACACUUAGUAAAUGGAUUUUUUUCCCACUCCCGGGUCCUAGUGGGAUGUGCUUUCCAUGGCGCUGUUGGUAUCUGUUCUAGAAAGAACAGAAGCCCUUAAGCUUAGUUGUGUUUGCACGUGAAGCAUGCUUGAUGCCGUCAUGAUUAGAGCCGAAUGCAUUGCCGUCUCCUCUUCUCCGGGCAGCUGCUCACGGAUCUGUUUGGGUGGGAGAAACCUUUCCCAGCCUUCCUCAAAACCAUCCUUUGUGCAGCAUCCCCAGGGCUACGCACAGCAAGGAAGUGAGGGAAAGCACACAACAUCUGGUGUUAAACAAACACCAUCAUCCUGCAAAUGACUCUUCCCUGGGAUGGUGAUUCUUGCAUGUGGAGAGCAGAGGGAUGUCAACGCCAGGACCGUGCUAGAGAUUAAACACCUGAAAGGCGUGUGGACUGAGAGGAAGCACGUGACCUCAGAGUUGUUGAGGGUUCUGUUUUACUUGGCGGACAAAACGGAGGACUUGAGCCUGGGGCACAGCAUCUCAGAUAACUCUGAGGAACCUCUCCGCAGAGACAAGGGAAGGGGGAGCCAGGAUUUAUAGGAGGUUUUGCCGCAAAAACAGGGAGUCGGACAUCAAAAGAUUAUUGUUGGAGUUCCCAUUGUGGCUCAGCAGUAAUGAACCCAACUAAUAUCCAUGAAGACAUGGGUUCGAUCCCUGGCCUUGCUCAGUGGGUUAAGGAUCCGGUGUUGCUGUGAGCCGUGAUGCAGCCCACGGCUCGGAUCCCAUGUUAGGGUGGCUGUGGUGUAGGCCAGCAGCUGCAGCUCUUAUUCAACGCCUAGCCUGGGAACCUCUAAAUACUGCAGGCAUGGCCCUAAAAAGACAAAAAAAAAAAAAAAAAAAAAA
rnacentral:lncRNA from 1 species